CUAUAUGAUAUCCUUUUCUUGUACACUCUGCCUUUGUUUUGUCAAUAAGAUUGAAAUGGCUCCAGACUUUGCUUCUUUUCUUGGUGUCACUCAUUUUCUUUACUGUACCUUUCCAAUGUGACGGUGUUGUCUCUUGUUGAUCCCGGCUCUCUUUCUUUCCCUCUCCCUCCUGCUCUUGUUGUGUGCUACUGCUGUUGCGAGUGUAACUACCGCCCCGCCCCCUCAGCUCAGCGCUGAGCAGAGGGGGGAGGGGCGCAAACGCAAGGCUCUGUUUGCCGUCUCUGCUCAGCGCAAACACAAGGGUGAUUUGCAACGUGAAGCGAAAAAAAGUGAAAGAGAGGGCAGGAGAAAGAAAAAAAAACCUUGUUCACUUCAAAGAUCCGGCUCUGAGAGCCAUUUCGACCGACCCAUCACUGGCAGAAUGCAUGCUUAGUUCUGUCUGGGAAGCUCACUGGUUUAUGGCUUAAAAAGAAACAGCAGCGGUUCUUUUUGCAGUCUCUGCAAUGAUGUCAAAGCUCUGAACAGAGCUGUAGAAAACUUUUUAGAGUUGGGCGGGAUCCUGUUGCUGGAAACCCAUGGUUACUCAUGUCCCAUGUUAUUGCAGAAUGCACCCUUUCCUCAUAUUGGUCUCAGUGGUGAUGUAGCGAUCCUCUGUGAGGACGCAGCAACUGGAUCGAAGGUAGAGGGUUCAGAAUAUUUUGAUGAACUGUUCAGGGAUGCCAUAUGACGCUAUCAAAUGCCUAUGUGAAAUCGACAAAAUUAAUCGAGAGAUGCUGCUGGUAUUCCAAAGUCUGUUCGGUGAUUGUGAACAGGAUUAAAUUCUGCUCUGUGCACGACCAGCCACUGCAGAAUCCGGCUUGUUCUUCCCGGAAUUUCUGGUCCAGGGCCUUAUGAAGUCUUCGGCUAUAGUGUGAUUCCUCAGUUGUUGCAGUCCGCCAGGUUGCCUUUCUUGGGGAGCUUUACUGUAACUCCUCUUAGCCAAUCUUCUUGCACUUGUGCCGAUGACCAACAUAAGCUGACGGGGCACUGAUGUGCUUCAGCAUUUCUGCAGACACCAUGUACAUGCCCAAUGCAUUGCCAUUCUCAAGGAGUUUGAUCACGGCUGCAGUUUCUUCAGUGGUUAUGGCGUCUGUCCUAAUGUCCAAGUCAUUCAGAGUCUUUUUGAAGUGUUCCACCCCUGACAACAGAGGCCUCUAGUAUAAGAGGAGAUUUUGUCAUAUCCAGGUAACUUCAGGGUUAACCCCGGGUUUUCUGCUUCAAAUGUGAUUCACUUUUUACUGAGUUAAAUCAGGACUUAACUUAUGCCCUAAUCUGGAAACUAGCCUGCUUGUUAUGCCAUUCCAUGCUAAAACCACCAACUGUAGUUCACAUUUUGUAUCACAUUGUUGCAGGAAUGUGCAUGUAAUAAUUGGUAAUUUAGAAAAUGUAUAAAUGUAGUUAUACGUGAUUCUAUUCUGCUGCUGAGUGUAUGUUCUUUAAGGCUCAGAACUGAAGGCUGCAUUCAGGACUUUAUCACACUGGUACAUAACGAGAGGGACCUUGAACAAGUGUGCACACACGUACACACACAAACAGCAUCUCACUUCAUGCUUGCUCUUUCCCUAGCCUCUUAUGUCACUUAUAUGUUUGGUCUUAUUAUUGUCUUAUUUGUUGUGAUUUCUGAGCACAUGCAGAGGUUUUUGCUUGGGAAGCAACUGUCACCUUGUUUUCAGGGUCUUAUGUAACACUCAGUGGUAUUGAAAUAUGUAAAGCUUUUCUACUCUACCUAAAGUUAAACAGCUGAGAGCAUCUUGAGGACUGCAGAGAAAAAGGUUUGCACUUGGGAUUUUGAACUGUGGUGUUUCCACUGCUGAGGACUUUUGGACACAGUUUAAAAAAGUCUUCAUCAGAAAAGCACUUGUAAUUGUUAGAAUUGAUAUUUUUUAGGUUGUCAUUUGUGCUUAGAAACAUAUAAUUAUUUAUGCUUGGAGAUAUAUAAUCAUUUAUAUGUUGAUAAAAUAUCUUAACCUUAUUAGGUCUGAUAAGGACUGUGUACACUCUGUGUACCAUGAGAUGAGAGGAAGCGGUCUCGAGUUGGCCAUGUCAUCAGAGAAUUUCUGGAGGAGACAGUCACAGAUGGUGAAGAGGAAAGGGGACAGAACAGGGUGCUCAGUUGCUGCAGUCUCACAAACUGUGGUCUGCCUGUCAGGAAGUCACUGAUCCACUGGACCUGUGUAUCCUCCACCUGCAUGUCUUCCAGCUUCUCCCUCAGCAUCCUGGCCUGGAUCAUGUUAUCGGGGCCAGAGAAGUCGAAGAAAAUUAUCCGAAUUGUGGUGCUCGUUGUUAUUAAAGCUUUAGCUUGAGUGUAGAAAGGAGCUCUUCUCUUCUGUGGUGGUUAAGAGAAAGUGAUGUAUGGUUCUAAUGAAAACAUUAGACAGUAGAACUCUUUUGCUUUGAUUUUUUUUUUCAGUCACAUUCUGUUUACAUAAUUUUUAUUUAGACGAUGUGUUCUCAAACUUCUACUUGCAAAUGCAUUUCUGUCUGAUUCAUCUUUUUAACACUCCUCAUAGCAUGAAAAAUAGAAAACAGCGUUCACCUGGCGUGUUCUUUAUUUGAUUAGACAUUUACAGGAACAGGUCUCUGUUUACAGCUUAUCAUCCUCAAACUUUCAGACCAGUCAAUAUUUGCGUGGACUUUGUCCCUUAAAAAUACAUGACAUAAACAGAACUGACCUAAACAGCUGUUUUCUCUCUUCUCAGUAAUUUGGUCACUCUGUUAUUGCCUCAGAGGUAAUUUGUUGUUAUGCAUAUCUCAGGACAUCUGACUUUUCAGAUGUUAAAUGGAUUUCCUGCAGGUGCUCCAGUAGCAUACCGGCCCACAGUUUGUAGGAUUCUCAUGUAUUUUUAAAACAUGUCUGAGAAUCACAUUAUAUUUUGCAUAAUUACUAUGUCUGGAACUUCUUCUUUUCUUUUCUUUUUUGCCGUAACAUCUCAAAAAUGUUGCGAUGGGGGCAACAGAACCCUGGAACAGAAAGUAAUACUAAGAAAGAAAGAACUGUUGGAACAUUUUACACAUGAUUAGUUGAUAACAGGUUAGUAAGAUGAUUCAGUCUAAAAACAGCAUCUCUGAUGGUAUGGUGCUGCAUUAGUGCCUAAUGCCAUAGCAGCUUUCACAUCUGAAAAGGCGUACAUGUUAAACAGUAUGUACAGGUUAUAGAGCAGGAAAUGCUCUGAUCCAGACAUCCUUUUUAGGGAAGGCCUUCAUGUGUCAGCAUGAUGAUGCUAAACCACAUACUGCAUUUAUCCCAGCAGCAUGGCUUCAUAGCAGGCGAAUGUAAAAUGGCAUGAUUACUCAGUUCAAACAUUUGAUGUUUUUCUGUGUUCUAUUGAAGAUAAAAUACAAUUGUAUGGAAUUGUAAUUGAAAUUGAUUCUAUUUCUUACAGUUCAAGUACACUAAACCUUGAGCUUAUUAAGCAAUAAAAUGGGGAGCAAAUAGUAAGGGAUACAAUAUCUGAGAGAUCUUCAGUUUUUCCUUUUUAUCCUGUUUUUUCUGGGAAAAUCAAAUUUGUGUUGACACAGUAUUUCGUUAAUAUUUCAAACAAAUGUACACACAAAGUUCACACAGUCCUGUGUGGUCUCCUGUUUUUCUGUUUCUCCUGAGAAUCUUCACUUAUCAGCAAAAUGUUAACGAACUUCU